ACCGUUCGUUGGUACCCGCUCGAC
rnacentral:siRNA from 1 species